UCUAGGCAUGUUUGUGUGGGCUUAUCUUGACUGCAUUCACUGAAAUGGGAAGAUGCAUCCUCUGCUGAUGGCUUCUGUGAAUAUCACUCUGUGUAAAUAAAAUGCUGAUUGGCCAGUAGCCAGGCAGGAAGUAUAGGUGGGAUAAGCAGAGAAGAUAAUUCUGGGAACAGGAAGGCUGAGUCACAGAGACACUGCCAGCCACCGCCAUGACAAGCGAGAUGUAAGAGCUGAGUUAAAUUUCAUCCCAAAUUGCCUCACAGAAGCUUUGGGCAAUGGGAGGAAGAGACUCUUGACCACAUUAACUCAAAUGAAGAGAGGUGCUGGAUGCCCUACCUCUCUGAGGCUUCAGAGACAAAGAUGAGAUCCAGUAACUCAUGGAGCACACAAUCUACAAUUGUUUUUGCAUAAAUCUAUGUGUAAGGGACACGUGACUCUGACAGGACCAAGCAUGGGUAAGGAGCCAUCUCCUCUGGUCAGCAUUGAGGGAACUGGAAUGGCAGGUUAGGGCAGGACCUGAAUCUCCUGAAAACUGGAUGUUGUCAGAUACUGAAGGCCCCAUUGAUGAUUGUUUUAUUACUUCUUUCCUCUUAUUUGCUUGCCUAAAAUCCUGAGAUGUUACUUGGUUUUUUCCCACAUCCCAGACUAAUUAAUA